GGACGUCAUUCUGGUAGAUUGCCGCCACAUACGAUACCGGACCCGUUAAAGGCUCAUGGAAAAACUUGCGAGUCUUGUAAGACAACACGUACUCCAUUAUGGAGAGAUGCUGAAGACGGGACACCACUCUGUAAUGCAUGUGGGAUUAGAUACAAGAAGUACCGGAUUCGUUGUCCAUGCUGUUGGCUGAUCCCACGCAAAGACAGCAAGACAUUCCCUUACUGCGGGCGAUGCGGCGUACUUCUAAAAAUGAUGCUCCAGCGAAGGUGUCAGUAUCUUUGACGGUUGUCUUUCAAUAAGUGCAAUUAAAGGUUCAGUACUGUUUGGUUGUUAUAAUGGUUGCCAACUUGUCAUGAGUAAAGGCAAUAUAGAAAUAUUUGAAACUCAAUAUCAAUUACGAAUGAUUGUAGAAUAGGCCUACAUAAUAUGGCG